GACGAACGCUGGCGGCGUGCCUAAUACAUGCAAGUCGAACGCAGUGGGGACGGGUGAGUAACACUUGGUUAACCUCCCAUCAGAGGGGAUAACACUUGGAAACAGGUGCUAAACCGAUACUGAUGGAUGGUCCCGCGGUGCAUUAGCUAGUUGGUGGGGUAACGGCUCACCAAGGCCACGAUGCAUAGACGACCGGGGAGGAGGAUGGGCCACACUGGAACUGGGACACGGCCCAGAUUCCUACGGGAGGCAGCAGUGGGGAAUCUUCGGCAAUGGACGAAAGGCUGACCGAGAAACGCGGGGUGAGUGAAGAAGGUUUUCGGGUCGUAAAACUCUGUGGUUAGAGAAGCGGUAUCUAACCAGAAAGCCACGGCUAACUACGUGCCAGCAGCCGCGGUAAUUC
rnacentral:rRNA from 1 species